GAUGAACGCUGGCGGCGUGCUUAACACAUGCAAGUCGAACGAUGAAGCCCAGCUUGCUGGGUGGAUUAGUGGCGAACGGGUGAGUAACACGUGAGUAACCUGCCCUUAACUCUGGGAUAAGCCUGGGAAACUGGGUCUAAUACCGGAUAGGAGCGCCUACCGCAUGGUGGGUGUUGGAAAGAUUUAUCGGUUUUGGAUGGACUCGCGGCCUAUCAGCUUGUUGGUGAGGUAAUGGCUCACCAAGGCGACGACGGGUAGCCGGCCUGAGAGGGUGACCGGCCGCACUGGGACUGAGACACGGCCCAGACUCCUACGGGAGGCAGCAGUGGGGAAUAUUGCACAAUGGGCGAAAGCCUGAUGCAGCGACGCCGCGUGAGGGAUGACGGCCUUCGGGUUGUAAACCUCUUUCAGUAGGGAAGAAGCGAAAGUGACGGUACCUGCAGAAGAAGCACCGGCUAACUACGUG
rnacentral:rRNA from 1 species